AUGUCGCUGGCGUGCGGGCUGCCGCUGCUGGAGUGCGUCUACUGCCUGGGGUGCGCGCGGUGGGCGUGGAAGCGGUGCGUCCACUCCGGCCACCACGACAGCGCCACCUGGGGCCACGCCGCCGCCGCCGACUUCGCGCCCGUGCCCCGCAUGUGCCGCCUCGUCAUGGCCAACUACGCCCCGCCCGACCUCCUCGCCGCCCCGCCCCUCCUCCUCGACCCGGCCUGCGUCGUGCGCCGCCGCACCUACGCCGACACGGGGGGCCGCGUCACGCCCUACCUCGUCUACCUCGACCACGCGCACGCCGACAUCGUGCUCGCGCUGCGCGGGCUCAACCUCGGCCGCGAGUCCGACUACGCGCUGCUCCUCGACAACCGCCUCGGCAAGCGCCGCUUCGACGGCGGCUACGUCCACAACGGCCUCCUCGACCGGUACCCUGAGUACACGCUCACCUUCACGGGCCACUCGCUCGGCGCCGGGGUCGCCGCCAUGCUCACCAUGGUUGUGGUGCUGAACCUCGACAAGCUCGGCAAGGUCGAGAGGGGCCGCACCCGGUGCUACGCCAUGGCCCCCGCCCGCUGUAUGUCGCUCAACCUCGCCGUCCGAUACGCCGACGUCAUCAACUCCGUCGUGCUUCAGGAUGAUUUCUUGCCUCGGACGGCCACUCCUUUAGAAGAUAUCUUCAAGUCGAUUCUCUGUCUGCCAUGUCUCCUAUGUUUGAGAUGUUUAAAGGACACGUGCAUACCUGAAGAUGCUAUGUUAAAGGAUCCAAGGAGGCUCUAUGCACCAGGUCGGAUAUAUCACAUUGUGGAAAGGAAAAGUUUCAGGUGCGGAAGAUAUCCACCGGUAGUCAAAACAGCUGUGCCGGUAGAUGGUAGAUUUGAGCAUGUCGUUCUAUCCUGUAACGCCACAAUGGAUCAUGCCAUUGUUUGGAUCGAGCGGGAAGGCCAGAGAGCUCUGGAUCUGAUGCUGGAGAAGGAGCGCGCGAUGGCGGCACCAUCGAACCAGCGGAUGGAGCGGGACGAGACGGCGGUGCCGAGGGAACACGUGGAGGAGCACAAGGCGGCGUUGCGCAGGGCUGCCACGCUGUCGGUAUCGGGAAUGGCGUCGAUCUACGGCACGUUCGACGACGGCCCACGGCCUGAGAGGAGCGAGAGCUUCCCGCCACCAGCGUCGUCGAGGCAGCAGCCACGGGUGAGCUGGAACGACCUGAUAGAGCAGGUGUUUGACAAGGACGAGGGUGGACAGAUAGUGCUGCGCAGCCCCUCUCCUUCUUCAUGA
rnacentral:rRNA from 1 species